UCCGGGGUAGUUCAAUUGGCAGAACGCCGGCCUUUGGAGCCGGAUGUUGGAGGUUCGAGCCCUCCCCCCGGAG
rnacentral:tRNA from 1 species